rnacentral:rRNA from 1 species
AAUUAUAGGUUUAUUAUAUAAUUUUUGAAUAAGAUAUUAAGAUGUUUUUGUAUUAGAUAGUUAAAAUUGUUUUAAUGAUAGUUAAAUAGUAAUGUGAAUGAAUAUUGAAAUAUAUUGAUAAAUAAUUUUUUAAAAGAAUAUUUAAAUUUUAGUACCUUUUGUAUCAGGGUUUAUUAAAAUAGUUUAAUUAAUUUUAAUUUCCCGAAUUAAUAAGAGUUAAUUUUAUAUAAAUUUUAUUGUAAAAUAAAUAUUUAUAAUAUAGAUUUAGAGGAGAAAUUUUAUUCGUUUAUUAUUAUAUCUGGUUUUUCUAGAAUUUAAUUUAAUUAAGUAAGUUAAUUUUAAUUGGUAAUAUUUAUGUUUAAGGUAGAGUUAACUUAAAGGUUUUGUAGGGAUAAGCUUAUGAAAUUUAAUUUAUAAUUAAUUAAUUUAUUUAUUUAUUUAUAGAAUUAGUAUUAUUUAUUAAAUUUAAUAUUUUAUAAUUAAUAUGUUUAAGAAUAUAAUUUAUUAAUUAAUUUGGAUUUAUUAUAGAAAUAAUUUUUGUAAUUAUAUAAAGUUUGUAAAAAUGAUAAAAUUAGUAUAAAUAUAUUUAUAUUUAUUUAUGAAUGGUUAGAUUGUGAAAAGGAAUUCGGCAAUAAAAAUUUUCGCCUGUUUAUUAAAAACAUCGUUUUAUGUCAAAUUAUUUAAAAUUUCACCUGCCCAAUGAAUAAUUUAAAUGGCCGCGGUAUACUGACCGUGCAAAGGUAGCAUAAUCAUUAGUUUCUUAAUUAGAAGCUGGAAUGAAAGGUUGGACGAGAAAUUGACUGUCUUUUUACAAUAUAUUAGAAUUUUAUUUUUUAGUCAAAAAGCUUAAAUUUUUGUUAAAGACGAGAAGACCCUAUAGAGUUUUAUUUAUUUUAUUAAUAUUGUUAAGUUAGAUGUUAAUUAAUUUAUUAUUAGGUAAAUUUGGUUGGGGUGAUUGAAAGAUUUAAUAAACUCUUUUUAUUAUUUUUUUUAUUAAUUUAUAUGUUUUUGAUCCAUUAUUUAUGAUUAAAAGAUUAAAUUACCUUAGGGAUAACAGCGUAAUUUUUAUGGAGAGUUCUUAUCUAUAUAAAAGUUUGCGACCUCGAUGUUGGAUUAAAAUUAAUUUUUGGUGGAGGAGCUGAAGGAUUAAGUCUGUUCGACUUUUAAAAUUUUACAUGAUCUGAGUUUAAACCGGUGUGAGCCAGGUUGGUUUCUAUCUUUAUACAUUGAAAAUUUUUUAGUACGAAAGGACCAAAAAUUUAGUAUAUUUAUUUUUUUUUAGAUAAACAUUGU